UUAGGAAUAUUGGUCAAUGGGGGCAACCCUGAACCAGCAACGCCGCGUGAAGGAAGAAGGUCUUCGGAUUGUAAACUUUUGUUCCAGGGGACGAUAAUGACGGUACCCUGGGAGUAAGCCACGGCUAACUACGUGCCAGCAGCCGCGGUAAUACGUAGGUGGCAAGCGUUAUCCGGAAUUACUGGGUGUAAAGGGUGCGUAGGCGGGCAGUCAAGUCAGGUGUGAAAUGCCGUGGCUCAACCACGGAACUGCAUUUGAAACUGACAGUCUUGAGUACAGUAGAGGUAAGCGGAAUUCCCGGUGUAGCGGUAAAAUGCGUAGAUAUCGGGAGGAACACCAGUGGCGAAGGCGGCUUACUGGACUGAAACUGACGCUGAGGCACGAAAGCGUGGGGAGCAAACA
rnacentral:rRNA from 1 species